CGGUGUUUAACUGGCGUGAUGUGGGACGUCCUACCGGUGGGCUUAGCCUCGCGAGGGGCGGCCCAACUAAUAUCCCGUCGCGGUGCUCUUUACUGAGUGUCGAGUCGGGCCGGUACGUUUACUUUGAACAAAUUAGAGUGCUUAAAGCAGGCUAUCCUCGCCUGAAUACUGCGUGCAUGGAAUAAUGGAAUAGGACCUCGGUUCUAUUUUGUUGGUUUUCGGAACCCCGAGGUAAUGAUUAAUAGGGACAGAUGGGGGCAUUCGUAUUGCGACGUUAGAGGUGAAAUUCUUGGAUCGUCGCAAGACGGACAGAAGCGAAAGCAUUUGCCAAAAAUGUUUUCAUUAAUCAAGAACGAAAGUUAGAGGUUCGAAGGCGAUCAGAUACCGCCCUAGUUCUAACCAUAAACGAUGCCAGCUAGCGAUCCGCCGAAGUUCCUCCGAUGACUCGGCGGGCAGCUUCCGGGGAAACCAAAGCUUUUGGGUUCCGGGGGAAGUAUGGUUGCAAAGCUGAAACUUAAAGGAAUUGACGGAAGGGCACCACCAGGAGUGGAGCCUGCGGCUUAAUUUGACUCAACACGGGAAACCUCACCAGGCCCAGACACCCGGAAGGAUUGACAGAUUGAUAGCUCUUUCUUGAUUCGGUGGGUGGUGGUGCAUGGCCGUUCUUAGUUGGUGGAGCGAUUUGUCUGGUUAAUUCCGAUAACGAACGAGACUCUAGCCUGCUAAAUAGGCGUACCUUAUGGUAUCGCGAAGGCCCCCGGCUUCGGCCGGUGGGUUUUUACUACCAACGUACAAACAAAUCUUCUUAGAGGGACAGGCGG
rnacentral:rRNA from 1 species